rnacentral:lncRNA from 1 species
AGAGCAGAGACAGGCUACCCUACUCCCAUGCUUCUGGGGAUUUACACUUUUGCUGAUCAGCUGGACAAGCACCAACAGGAAGGAUGGCCAGCUUGGAGCCAAGCACUGUGAUGUACACCUGCAGUCUCAGCUACUAGGGAGGCUGGGGCAGAAGAAUCACUUGAAUCCAGGAAUUUGUGGCCAGCCUGGACAACAUCGUUUAAAAAAAAAAAACAGAAGAGUGGAAAUCCUCCUGGCAAACAGAAAGAACACAGUCUCCAGAGUCAGACUGACCCAAGGACUGCACAAGCGUCAUCUUUUAUUUCCUGUGCCAUCUGGCUCAAACUACUCCAAGCUCUUUCCACGUCUCAAUAACUUUGUCUGUGAAAUGAAGACUGGGACUAGGAGAAGCAUGUGGCCGCAAAAACGUCUGGUUUUCAGAGCACAGGAAAGCUUCGUUUCUGUUGCUACAUAAUCAAGAAGACACAAUUCUGACAGAAAAUGAGCAGUGCUCUGUGAGAGCUGGGCACAGGGCCAGACAC